GCUGAUUGGCUCUCCUAAUUUUGGGUACAGGUCAGUUCACCGGGACCUGGAGGCCCAGAUUGCCAUCGUAACAGAGAGCCGAGCCCUGCAGCAGCAGCUUCACCAGGUUGGUUGAAGUGAUGGGUUCCUGGGUAUGUGGUCAUCCUCACAGGCAUCUCCUGCCUUUGUCAGCUAAGAUAGUAAAGCUCGCCAGGGUAGGCUUGUAUGCUGCCGGAGGCCAUUCCCUCCUUCCAUGCUAGAGAGACCACCAUUUCCUCACUGGGGAAUGGAGUCCAGUCUUUAAAAGUGAGGGUGAAUCCCAGGGUUGGCUAUGGCCUUGCUCUCCCUGUGGAUCAGGGCACAGAAAACUCUCCUGCAGCAGAGCCGCCCCGUGCUUUGGUCUCGGAAGCUUAUGCCCUUUAUAGGAACCCCCUGUGUGGGUUGGACAAGAUUCCCAUUGGAGUCUUAGAUACAGGAUCCUUGUUCCCAGGCAUGGCUUUUGGUUAUUUUGGUUAUUUUAACUGUAUAUUAUGUGAGUAUGAGAUAUGUGUGAAUGUGAUAUGCAUGUGCCAUGACACCUGUGUGAAAGUUAGAGGUCAGCUUAUUCGAGUGAGUUUUAGAGAUUGAACUCUUAUGUCUCAGGCUUGUGGGGCAAGCGCCUUAUGUGCUGGGCCUUCCCACUGGCCUGCGCUCUGACGUUAGACUGCAGUGUCUGGGAAUCGUGGCUACAUAGCUCUGCUGAUGAGUGGGAAGUGGCGCU
rnacentral:lncRNA from 1 species